CUCUUGACUAUAAACGUGGCGGAUAUUAAUGAAAUUGGAAACAAAGGGUUGCUACAGAUUCGCCUAAAUCUUCAACCGACUUCACGACUACUCCCCACUCUCCGAAAUCACCGUCCUACGUCAAUGCUUCAACUUCUCAAAAAGCUUUUUCCUUAUCUUCCGCUCCUCCAAGCAAACCUCAUUCAAAACAAAAAGCAAACUCGCUUCCGAAAAUUGGUCGAGCCUCCGUUAUUUCUACUUCCCAAGAUACAUCCUCGAACGCAAAGAUCGAUUCUGGUGGUCCAGGUGUGGAAAAUUGCAAGUUAAAAGUUAUCGUAAUUCCUUUUAUAGACGUCUAGUUUAUUAGCCUUUAAAGGAAAUUUGGUGCGGCUUGUGUUGGAGGGAAGCGUGUAUUGAAGCAAGGGUUAUAAAGGAGGGAGGUGUCUAUUUUACAAAGGAGAGUAUAAAGAAAUCAAUAAACAACAAAAUAAACAAAUUGAUGGUAAUAACUUUCCAUUAAAAAAAUUAAACAUUACAAAGAAAAACGUUUACUUCAACUUCAAAUUUAAACUAAAAUCAGGACAUUAGGACUAUGUAGGAAUUCAACUUCUUAUCCUCUGUAGUAAUAUGUACGAUCGCCAAACCAUUUCGGUUACAUAGUUUCAGCUAUAUACAAUUCACCGAACCAUUAAUUCGUUACUUAACUGGACCAACUUUGCUAUUCAAUUAUGAUUUCGUUUAUCACAGAAAUGACGAAGGACUUAUUGGAAAGGCUUUCACUGCAACAGUACACGGCCAUACUGGAAGAGGUUGAUGUUAAGACGUUCUUGACGCUAAACGUGUCGGAUCUUAACGAAAUUGGAAUAAAAAAACAAGAGGAACAAGAACAGAUUUUAGCUGCAGUGCAGUUACUAAAAGGCCAA